rnacentral:rRNA from 1 species
AUUGAACGCUGGCGGCAGGCCUAACACAUGCAAGUCGAGCGGAUGAAGGGAGCUUGCUCCUGGAUUCAGCGGCGGACGGGUGAGUAAUGCCUAGGAAUCUGCCUGGUAGUGGGGGAUAACGUCCGGAAACGGGCGCUAAUACCGCAUACGUCCUGAGGGAGAAAGUGGGGGAUCUUCGGACCUCACGCUAUCAGAUGAGCCUAGGUCGGAUUAGCUAGUUGGUGGGGUAAAGGCCUACCAAGGCGACGAUCUGUAACUGGUCUGAGAGGAUGAUCAGUCACACUGGAACUGAGACACGGUCCAGACUCCUACGGGAGGCAGCAGUGGGGAAUAUUGGACAAUGGGCGAAAGCCUGAUCCAGCCAUGCCGCGUGUGUGAAGAAGGUCUUCGGAUUGUAAAGCACUUUAAGCUGGGAGGAAGGGCAGUAAGUUAAUACCUUGCUGUUUUGACGUUACCAACAGAAUAAGCACCGGCUAACUUCGUG